rnacentral:rRNA from 1 species
GACGAACGCUGGCGGCGUGCCUAAUGCAUGCAAGUCGAGCGAACGGACGAGAAGCUUGCUUUUCUGAUGUUAGCGGCGGACGGGUGAGUAACACGUGGAUAACCUACCUAUAAGACUGGGAUAACUUCGGGAAACCGGAGCUAAUACCGGAUAAUAUUUUGAACCGCAUGGUUCAAAAGUGAAAGACGGUCUUGCUGUCACUUAUAGAUGGAUCCGCGCUGCAUUAGCUAGUUGGUAAGGUAACGGCUUACCAAGGCAACGAUGCAUAGCCGACCUGAGAGGGUGAUCGGCCACACUGGAACUGAGACACGGUCCAGACUCCUACGGGAGGCAGCAGUAGGGAAUCUUCCGCAAUGGGCGAAAGCCUGACGGAGCAACGCCGCGUGAGUGAUGAAGGUCUUCGGAUCGUAAAACUCUGUUAUUAGGGAAGAACAUAUGUGUAAGUAACUGUGCACAUCUUGACGGUACCUAAUCAGAAAGCCACGGCUAACUACGUG